ensembl:lncRNA
GGAGGGGGCAAAGAGCGGCAGAAAGAAGUGAGAGAUAUCACUCCGCCCCAGCGUUAAAGUCCGUUUGUACCUGCGCAGGUGCGCCCAGAGAGGCGUCUGCCUGAUGCGGUGCACAGACUGGAUUUAUACUGUCAUCUUCAUGUGGAGUGUUUCCAAAGGUUUCCUCACAGAAACACACAAACAUCCGAGGACCUGUUACAGCAAACGACCCACCUCAUCUUUACUAUGGAACUCUGAAGGGCUGAAUAAACAUACCCACACAGACAUUAUUAGAAGAGUUUAAAGAGCUUUUUCCUGUUUAUGAAUAUAAGUUUCUAUUUUCACUUGUUUUGCAUCUGAUUUUUCACCUUUUUCGUCUGGAGUUUUACUGCUGUGAUCAUUAAGUAUCUGAUGGCAGUUGUUGUUGGCAUGUCCUUGUCAUAAAUUCAAAUAUUUGUCUAUUUUUCAUCACUCUGGUCUCUUUGUGGUCAUUUUGCAGAAACCUUUUGUUCUUUACAGUUGUUUGUGUUUUGUGUGUUCAGCUGGGUCUAUUUUUUUCUCGUUAUUUGUAUCUUUGAUCACAACAAUACGUUUUCUGUCUUUUACCGUGGAAGUCUAUGGGACCGGCUCGCUGCUGCCUCUGCUGGACGUCUGAGGAAUUGCAGAUUGUGCCACUUCCGCGUUGGCUUGGAGAUUUCCGCGGAGUGAUCCUUCUUCCUCCAUCACGAUCUCCGCAGCCUUCACUCAGCCGACACGUCGAUCGGGAUUCUCUGCCUGGAAACGCCGCAAAUCGGAACCGGCGGCCGACACAGACGGAGCGGUCUCGCGGGCUUCGUGGGGGUCGAUUAGGCGCGACUCUUUCUCCUGACUGAAGAUGGGAAGUGAUCAGAGCCAUGAGAGGAAGGCUGAAGAGACUGAGAAGGAAACUGAAAAACACGAGCAGUGUGACAAAACCGAGGAUGCGACUCCUAAAGAGAUGCCAGGAGAGCUGCCCCAGUGCAGGAUGGGAAACAGGAGGGUGGACAACAUGUGUUUCAUGAUCUCGUGCACUAACUGGUACUGAACUGGUCCCCGUGUGUUGGGCUCACGAUGAAACAGAAGCACACUGGAGGAUCUGUCUGCAUCUGUGCUGCUAAAACGACAAAUGCACCUGACUUCACUUUCCUUAAAUUCAAAACCAAGACUAAUGAUAAAAGGAAGAGAUGGAAAAGGAUUUCAAACGAUGGGUCACAAGAUUCGUGGGCUGUGUGGGAUGCUUGGAUUUCUAGUCAUGCCAAUAAAGACUGAGCAAAAGUAAAGAAGUGUUGCUCGUCAUGCUCUGUGGGCUCAGACAGCUGUGUGAAAACGAUCAAAGAGAAGCGAGAGCUGAACAAAGAUUGCUCACUUCAGUUACUGAUGUUCAAAAAGAAUUAGACUAGAAAGGGAAGGAAAGGAGGAUGGAAGAGGGAAAGGAAGGAAAGAAAGCAAUUGGGAAAGGGAGGGAAGUAAGGAAAGGAGAAGGAAGCAAAAAAAGGAAGAAAACUGACAACGGAAGGAAAGGAAGGAGGAAACAACGGAAACGUGAAAGAAAUAAGGGGGUUAGGGAAGAGGCAAGAAGAAAGGAGCGAUGGGGAAAUGAAUGAAGGAAAGAGGAAGGAAAAAGAACAAAGAAAGCAAAGAAAGGAUGAAAGGAAAGGAAAUGAGAGUACCUAAGGAAGGAAUGUAACAGUAAGGAGAAGACUAAGAAAGAAAGGGAGCAAAGAAGCAGGUAGGAACAAAGGAAGGAAAGGAAGAUGAAAGAAGGAGGAAAGGGAAAAUCAAAGAAGGGAGCAAAUAUAAAAGGAAGCAAAGAUGAAAAAGGAAAGAAGUGAGGAAGAAAAGAAGGGGACAAAGAGGUGGUUUUGGUAAAAAGGAGACCUUUGAGUCUAAUUUGUUUCACUCAGAGCUGUAAAAAUCCGAACACACUGCAGCGUGUUCAGAGUUCAGCAGGAACGACAUUAAUCAACAGACCGAAAGAAGUUUCAGUUUAAGACGUGAUGGAUUCAUCAGGAAUAUCAUUAUUCAUGUCUGUGAUAAGAUUAAUGCUGCAUAUCUGACACUUACUGUCUCAUAAUUAUGAGAAAGUCUUCAGGUGGUUAUAAAUCAUCUGUGCUUGAGAGGACGGGGCGACGGCGCUGAAUGAUUUAAGUUUAAUGAAUAUGAGCUCGGGUUUUAACACAAGUGGCUCCUUUUUUUUUUUCAACAAAGUCGUUCGGGAAUGUCACAAAAGCCCCGACCGGUGUGAACAGACGGGGAAUUUUACAAGAAACAAGAAGGAUGACGUCCCAGCUGGAGACAACACGAACCUUGGUUUGGUUAUUAUGUCAGAUAUUACAGCUCGACUGAAAAACUCAGACAACUCCUGUUCCUGCAAUAGUAAAAGGAAAAAAGAAGGAAAUGAUAAGGAAGAAAAGAGGGA